rnacentral:tRNA from 1 species
GUUCUUGUGGUGUAGUUGUUAUCACAUCCGCCUAACACGCGGAAGGUCCCAGGUUCGAUCCCUGGCAAGAACA